rnacentral:rRNA from 1 species
AACGAACGCUGGCGGCGCGCUUAACACAUGCAAGUCGAACGAGAAGGCGUAGCAAUACGCUUGUACAGUGGCGAACGGGUGAGUAAUACGUGGGCGACCUACCCUCGAGUGGGGAAUAACCCGCCGAAAGGCGGGCUAAUGCCGCGUACGCUUCCAUCUUUAUGGAGGUGGAAGGAAAGCCGUGCCGUGGGCACGGCGCUCAAGGAUGGGCUCACGUCCUAUCAGCUUGNGGUAGGGUAACGGCCUACCAAGGCUCCGACGGGUAGCUGGUCUGAGAGGACGAUCAGCCACACUGGCACUGCGACACGGGCCAGACUCCGUACGGGAGGCAGCAGUGAGGAAUAUUGCGCAAGUGGGACGAAAGCCUGACGCAGCGACGCCGCGGUGGGGGAU